AGAGUUUGAUCAUGGCUCAGAGUGAACGCUGGCGGCGUGCUUAACACAUGCAAGUCGAACGGUAACAGAUACUUCGGUAUGCUGACGAGUGGCGAACGGGUGAGUAAUGUAUAGUUAAUUUGCCUCUUGGAGAGGGAUAGCCAUUGGAAACGAUGAUUAAUACCUCAUACUCCUUAUAUAGUAAAUAUAUAAGGGAAAUGUUUUUUCGCCAAGAGAUAAGACUAUAUGGUAUCAGGUAGUUGGUGGGGUAAGAGCCUACCAAGCCAAUGACGCCUAGCUGGUCUGAGAGGAUGAUCAGCCACACUGGAACUGAGACACGGUCCAGACUCCUACGGGAGGCAGCAGUGGGGAAUAUUGCACAAUGGAGGAAACUCUGAUGCAGCAACGCCGCGUGGAGGAAGAAGCAUUUCGGUGUGUAAACUCCUUUUAUAUAGGAAGAUAAUGAUGGUACUAUAUGAAUAAGCACCGGCUAACUCCGUGCCAGCAGCCGUGGUAAUACGGAGGGUGCAAGCGUUACUCGGAAUCACUGGGCGUAAAGCGCAUGCAGGCGGUUUAUAAAGUCAGAAGUGAAAUCCUACAGCUCAACUGUAGAACUGCUUCUGAAACUCAUGAACUAGAGUCUGGGAGGGGAAGAUGGAAUUAGUAGUGUA
rnacentral:rRNA from 1 species